rnacentral:rRNA from 1 species
UUUUUUCCUGUAGCAAUACAGGGAAAAGUCUAGUGGCGAACGGGUGCGUAACACGUGGGCAAUCUGCCUUAAAGUGGGGGAUAGCUCGGCGAAAGCCGAAUUAAUACCGCAUGUGAUCAGGGGAGACAUCUUCCCGAAAUCAAAAGUGGCGCAAGCUACUGCUUUUUGAGGAGCCCGCGGCCUAUCAGCUAGUUGGUGAGGUAACGGCUCACCAAGGCUUUGACGGGUAGCUGGUCUGAGAGGACGACCAGUCACACUGGAACUGAGACACGGUCCAGACACCUACGGGUGGCAGCAGUCGAGAAUUUUUCUCAAUGGGGGAAACCCUGAAGGAGCGACGCCGCGUGGAGGAUGAAGGUCUUCGGGUUGUAAACUCCUGUCAUUUGGGAACAAGUGCCGGUACGUAACUGCUACCGGCUUGAUAGUACCAGAAGAGGAAGAGACGGCUAACUCUGUGCCAGCAGCCGCGGUAAUACAGAGGUCUCAAGCGUUGUUCGGAUUCAUUGGGCGUAAAGGGUGUGUAGGUGGCGCCGUAAGUCGGGUGUGAAAUUUCGGAGCUUAACUCCGAAACUGCAUUCGAUACUGCGGUGCUUGAGGACUGGAGAGGAGACUGGAAUUCAUGGUGUAGCAGUGAAAUGCGUAGAGAUCAUGAGGAAGACCAGUGGCGAAGGCGGGUCUCUGGACAGUUCCUGACACUGAGACACGAAGGCCAGGGGAGCAAACGGGAUUAGAUACCCCGGUAGUCCUGGCAGUAAACGGUGCACGUUUGGUGUGGGAGGAUUCGACCCCUUCUGCGCCGGAGCUAACGCGUUAAACGUG